UACAGAGGGUGCGAGCGUUGUUCGGAAUUACUGGGCGUAAAGCGCGUGUAGGCGGCCCUGCAAGUCGGGUGUGAAAUCCCACGGCUCAACCGUGGAAGUGCACUCGAAACUGCAGUGCUAGAGUCCUGGAGAGGAAGGUGGAAUGCUCGGUGUAGAGGUGAAAUUCGUAGAUAUCAAGCGGAACACCGGUGGCGAAGGCGGCCUUCUGGACAGUGACUGACGCUGAGGCGCGAAAGCGUGGGGAGCAAACAGG
rnacentral:rRNA from 1 species